rnacentral:rRNA from 1 species
UACGUAGGGGGCAAGCGUUGUCCGGAAUUAUUGGGCGUAAAGAGCGCGUAGGCGGUCCGAUAAGUCGGCUGUGAAAGUCAUGGGCUCAACCCAUGAAAGCCGGCCGAUACUGUCGGACUAGAGUCCGGAAGAGGCGAGUGGAAUUCCCGGUGUAGCGGUGAAAUGCGUAGAUAUCAGGAGGAACACCGGUGGCGAAGGCGGGUCUCUGGGCCGAUACUGACGCUGAGGAGCGAAAGCGUGGGGAGCGAACAGG